rnacentral:rRNA from 1 species
AUUGAACGCUGGCGGCAGGCCUAACACAUGCAAGUCGAGCGGGGUUUUCGGACCUAGCGGCGGACGGGUGAGUAAUGCGUAGGAAGCUGCCCGAUAGAGGGGGAUACCAGUUGGAAACGACUGUUAAUACCGCAUAAUGUCUACGGACCAAAGUGUGGGACCUUCGGGCCACAUGCCAUCGGAUGCGCCUACGUGGGAUUAGCCAGUUGGUGAGGUAAUGGCUCCCCAAGGCGACGAUCUCUAGCUGGUUUGACAGGAUGAUCAGCCACACUGGAGCGGAGACACGGUCCAGACUCCUACGGGAGGCAGCAGUGGGGAAUAUUGGACAAUGGGCGCAAGCCUGAUCCAGCCAUGCCGCGUGUGUGAAGAAGGCCUUCGGGUUGUAAAGCACUUUCAGCGAGGAGGAAGGGAUGUAUGUAAAUAGCAUGCAUUUUUGACGUUACUCGCAGAAGAAGCACCGGCUAACUCUGUGCCAGCCGCCGCGGUAAAAC